rnacentral:rRNA from 1 species
AGAGUUUGAUCAUGGCUCAGGACGAACGCUGGCGGCGUGCUUAACACAUGCAAGUCGAACGGAGGUAGCAAUACCUCAGUGGCGCACGGGUGCGUAACACGUGAGAAAUUUGUCCAUCGGCGGGGGAUAGCCGGCCCAACGGCCGGGUAAUACCGCGUACGACCUUCGGGGGGCAUCCCCUGGAGGUGAAAGCCGCAAGGCGCCGAUGGAGAAUCUCGCGGCCUAUCAGCUAGUUGGUGGGGUAAUGGCCUACCAAGGCAACGACGGGUAGCUGGUCCGAGAGGAUGACCAGCCACAUUGGGACUGAGACACGGCCCAGACUCCUACGGGAGGCAGCAGUGGGGAAUAUUGCGCAAUGGGCGAAAGCCUGACGCAGCGACGCCGCGUGUGGGAUGAAGGUCUUCGGAUCGUAAACCACUGUCGGGGGGGACGAACUCAAUGACGGUACCCCCAAAGGAAGCACCGGCUAACUCUGUGCCAGCAGCCGCGGUAAUACAGAGGGUGCAAGCGUUGUCCGGAAUCACUGGGCGUAAAGGGCGCGUAGGCGGCCCGAUAAGUAGGGGGUGAAAUCUUGCGGCUCAACCGCAAGGCUGCCUCCUAAACUGUCAGGCUCGAGCACGGCAGAGGCUGGUGGAAUUCCCGGUGUAGCGGUGGAAUGCGUAGAGAUCGGGAAGAACAUCGGUGGCGAAGGC